AUCAUCUCUAAGCCUUUCAGUAUUUUGUUGGUUUGACUUCUUGUUAUUUUUAAAGUACGUCCAGUGUUUGUUUGUUCAUUAAAAUUACUGUUUAAACUUGUAAUUAUUUUUUAUAAGCAAAGUUGCGAAUGGAUAGGUAUUCCGAUAAGACGGACCACAUAUUUUGAACCGGAUAUUUUGGCGUUUCUAAAAAACAGCGAACGCCGCCAUUUACCUGGGUUCGGCACUUAUUUUUUUUAGGAUCGGGAGCUUGGAAAUGUAUGUUACGCGAUAAAAAUUUCAAGUGUACACUUCGAGAGUGCUUAUGUUUGAUUUUCUGCGAAUUGUUUUCUGGU